rnacentral:rRNA from 1 species
GAUGAACGCUGGCGGCGUGCCUAAUACAUGCAAGUCGAGCGAACGGACGAGAAGCUUGCUUCUCUGAUGUUAGCGGCGGACGGGUGAGUAACACGUGGAUAACCUACCUAUAAGACUGGGAUAACUUCGGGAAACCGGAGCUAAUACCGGAUGAUAUUUUGAACGGCAUGGUUCAAAAGUGAAAGACGGUCUUGCUGUCACUUAUAGAUGGAUCCGCGCUGCAUUAGCUAGUUGGUAAGGUAACGGCUUACCAAGGCAACGAUGCAUAGCCGACCUGAGAGGGUGAUCGGCCAAACUGGAACUGAGACACGGUCCAGACUCCUACGGGAGGCAGCAGUAGGGAAUCUUCCGCAAUGGGCGAAAGCCUGACGGAGCAACGCCGCGUGAGUGAUGAAGGUCUUCGGAUCGUAAAACGCUGUUAUUAGGGAAGAACAUAUGUGUAAGUAACUGUGCACAUCUUGACGGUACCUAAUCAGAAAGCCACGGCUAACUACGU